CGAUGAGGGGCGGAAUCCCUAUGAUGUCCGGACUAGAGUUGGAUAUCAAAUGGAGCACGCCCCACUUAGAGACAGAGUCUCGAGAGAGCUCCUCAGGAGUGUGAAUGAAAUGGGGCAUGCCCUCCAAGCUCCGAGGGGUGGUGAGGACACGGAGAACACACUCCGCAAUGUUUUAGAGAAAGUUCGUCAAAGGUGCCGGAAACUUGCAGCAAGAUUAGGUUACAGGUCGG